rnacentral:rRNA from 1 species
AGAGUUUGAUCCUGGCUCAGGAUGAACGCUGGCGGCGUGCCUAACACAUGCAAGUCGAACGUGAGAGAGUAGCAAUAUUCUUGAAAGUGGCGAACGGGUGAGUAACACGUAGGUAACCUGCCCUGAAGAGGGGGAUAACAGCUAGAAAUGGCUGCUAACACCGCAUAUUGCUGAGAUAACGGGAGUUAUUUUAGUGAAAACUCUGGUGCUUCAGGAGGGGCCUGCGGCCGAUUAGCUAGUUGGCGGGGUAAGAGCCCACCAAGGCAAUGAUCGGUAGCUGGUCUGAGAGGACGAUCAGCCACACGGGAACUGAGAAACGGUCCCGACUCCUACGGGGGGCAGCAGUGAGGAAUAUUGGGCAAUGGGCGCAAGCCUGACCCAGCAACGCCGCGUGGAGGACGAAGGCCUUCGGGUCGUAAACUCCUUUUACGGGGGAAGAGGAAGGACGGUACCCCGAGAAUAAGUCACGGCUAACUACGUGCCAGCAGCCGCGGUAAUACGUAGGUGACGAGCGUUAUCCGGAAUUACUGGGCGUAAAGCGCACGCAGGCGGCGCCUUAAGUCUGACGUGAAAUCUCUCGGCUUAACCGGGAGGGGUCGUUGGAGACUGAGGUGCUUGAGGCGAUGAGAGGGGUGUAGAAUUCCCGGUGUAGUGGUGGAAUGCGUAGAUAUCGGGAGGAAUACCAGUGGCGAAAGCGACACCCUGGCAUUAGCCUGACGCUCAGGUGCGAAAGCGUGGGGAGCGAACGGGAUUAGAUACCCCGGUAGUCCACGCUGUAAACGAUGAGUACUAGGUGUGGGUUGAGUGAAAUCAAUCUGUGCCGAAGCAAACGCGCUAAGUACUCCGCCUGGGGAGUACGGCCGCAAGGCUAAAACUCAAAGGAAUUGACGG